CAUCCCAGCAUUGGAUGUUUGAUGAAUGGAUUUUUUAAACUUGAUGCCAAAAUACUUUUCUUUCCAUCUCAGGUCCUGUGCUUGUAAAGGAGAAAGCAGUUUCCUUGUCUGAAUCUAGAUUAACACAGGAAAUGGAUUUUGAUCAAACUGAUAUGCUCAUUUUACCACCUCCUGACCUGUACGCUUGACCAGCUGCUGAGAGAUAAUCAUAAAACAAGGACAAAAAGCAGCCAGGCAGAGGAAACAGGACUUGCCUGCUGUUGUUAUUCCUCACACCGUGACCCGUGUCAGUACACCGUAUACUGUGACAGUCACUUCUUCUUCAUGACUUAUUUACCUGGGGUCUGCAUUUUUGGAUCAGUGUGAUGAUGUAGAAGAGCAAGAUAAGGAGAUAUGUCGACGAGCGUUACACCAUCCCAGCUCUCAGAACUCUUCGUGCACCUUUUUAUUUUUUUAAUUUAAUUUUUAAACACUCGCUGUGAAACCAGAGAGGGACAGUUUGCCCGGUGGCUCUGAGUGACUUUGAAACUGCUGAUCCCAGGAAAGAGCUUACAAACUGUUGCAGACACACACACCCUGGAGGCGCUUGUAGGGAAAAUUACAAUCGUUUUUUGGCGGUGGAAAUAAGGGGAGGACAAUGGAAAAUGUUUUUUUUUUUAUCAGGUUGAGACACCCUGAGAAAAUACACAGCGGACACAUGCAGUGAAACAGUUGUACAGCAUACACUUGUUACCAGUUUACAGUGUAUUUAACAGAAAUAUAGCUGACAAACUGACAAAUGAACACAGGCUUCAUAGACUUUUAGGUCAGGUCAUCGGCAAUUAUUAAAAAUCUGUGUGGCCAGCUCUACUCCACAG